rnacentral:lncRNA from 1 species
GAACACAAACGCAAAUCAGUAAACAUAUAUUAUUAGUGAAUUUAAGCACAAUAAGAAAAUAAGAGUUACGAGGUGUAAGUUAUGAGUAAGAAUUUGAGUUAUGAGUAUGUGAUACGGAUGUUAGAUGUUAUGAGGUGAGUGAUAGUGAUGAAGAGAGAAAUAGACAAAAUAUGAAGAAAAUAGUAAAUGGCAUUUUUGGGUAUUCUAAUUUUAUUAAAAUUUGAUUGGGUGUUGGAAGUAAAAUAAGAGGAGUAAGUAGAAAAAUUAAAAUUUAUAUUUAAAAUAUAAAGAUAAUCAAAUUACAAGUUUUUAUUUAGGGCUAGUGGGAGUUUAAAUUUUAACUGAAAAAAUUGUAAGCCAUGUUUUAUUUACUUCUCGACGAACUAAAGUACGAAGCAGAUAAUAGGUUUUCGCCAAAGGUUGUUAAAUAUUAGAUCAUUUGGCUCUACAUUUUGAUAGAAGCACAAAUAUGACCAGUUUCUAUUUUUAUGUCACUCAUAUAUGACAAUAUAUAGAGUUUGAAUAGAUAUUAUAAUACUCGUUCUUAUACCUGCAAUUUCAAAAAAAAAAUGUAUAUAAAUUUGUAUUCGCAUUAUUAUCAAUCUUAAUUGUUGUAUAUGCAUUGUUAUGAUACCAAAAUAUUCAAAUAUGUAUAGGUUAUCCGUGUUU